rnacentral:rRNA from 1 species
CCUACGGUAGGCAGCAGUGGGGGAUAUUGGACAAUGGGGGGAACCCUGAUCCAGCGACGCAGCGUGAGUGAAGAAGUAUCUCGGUAUGUAAAGCCCUAUCAGCAGGGAAGAAGAAAUGACGGUACCUGAGUCAGAAGCCCCGGCUAACUACGUGCCAGCAGCCGCGGUUAUACGUAGGGCGCCAGCUAUAUCCGGAAUUACUUGGUGUAAAGGGAGCGUAGACGGUGAUGGAAGUCUGGGGUGAAAGGCGGGGGCCCAACCCCCGGACUGCUCUUGAAACUAUGUGACUGGAGUGCAUGAGAGGUGAGCGGAAUGCGUAGUGUAGCGGUGAAAUGCGUAGAUAUCAGGCGGAACACCAGUGGCGAAGGCGGCUCACUGGACUGUAACUGACGUUGAGGCUCGAAAGCGUGGGGAGCAAACAGGAUUAGAUACCCGAGUAGUC